AGAGUUUGAUCAUGGCUCAGGAUGAACGCUAGCGGCAGGCUUAACACAUGCAAGUCGAGGGGCGAGCGGGGUGUAGCAAUACACUGCCGGCGACCGGCGCACGGGUGCGUAACGCGUAUGCAACCUACCCGUAACAGGGGCACAACACUGAGAAAUUGGUACUAAUUCCCCAUAACAUUCGAAGAGGCAUCUCUUUGGGUUGAAAACUCCGGUGGUUAUGGAUGGGCAUGCGUUGUAUUAGCUAGUUGGG
rnacentral:rRNA from 1 species